CCCUGUCUGGAGAGUACUUUCAUGUCAUCUCCAGCUGGGUUAUAGGCUCAGCAGUGCCAAACCACUCCCUAGACCUGGCUGAGUCUCUUCGACAUAGCUCUGUCUGGGGGUCCCGGGACGUGGACGAUUCCUUCGCCUCAAUUCCUUUGCCUCAGUGUACAUUCCCUCGUCCAUGAUGCUGAGUCUGGGACAGAAUUGAACAAACAGAACCAGCGACCUGGAAGGUAUGGAGAAGUUGGUAAAGCAGUCUCAGGACCUACCCCUGAUACUCAAACUUGAACAGCUGAGGCAGUGGCAGCAACACAUGCAGGAGCAACUGAAAGCCCACCAGCUGGAAGAGCUGGUCCAUCUCCAGGAGGAGCAACAGAGGCUACUCGGCAUGGUGCAUGUGGCUCAACAGGAAGGAGCAGAUUACAUAGACCUCCAGGUUUAUGGUAGCAGACUGGAGAGAGGGAACUCUAUUGGGGGAUGGCCCCCUUUCUCAAAGUUCCCCAACAGCCCAGAGCUUCCCUAUAGGCCCCCCACAAGGGCCUGCGUCUUCCCAGCUUUGGAGACAGGGGCCUACCUUCCAACAGCCUCCAAGGGGCCAGGAGCAGGAGGGAGAGGAUCAGGACCAAACACUGGGGACAGAAGCAUGGAGCAGUCCACACAAACAUCAGCUGAGUGGGAAUGCUGAUCAUAUGGGUGAUAAUGAGGAGAUGGAAGAAGUCAUGUUAUCCCCCCAUUCUGCUCCCUCUAUGAUUGAAGAAUGCAAAGAUUACAGAGGAGAUGACAGUGAACUAGACUCACAGGACAGACCCAUUAAACAAGGAAUAGAGGGGCAGAAGCAGACAUUUGAGGAGCUCCUGGAGGAAGAGCUGAGACUGGAGGAGCAGAGACUGAAGACCACCCAGCAGCAGCAGAGCCCAGAGGCAGUUGAGGGUGCCAUUCCCAAAAGGGUCUUCCUGAGGUGAGGGGAGGGCCUCUCCAGAUUCACCAAUAGAAGCAAAGCCAACAGACAGAGACCCCAAAAAGACCCCAAACCCCAGGGGACCUCAGAACCUAAGCCCACCCAGAGGGUCAGUCAGUGGUCUCCCAUACAGCGCAAGACUGCUGUGCUCAACAAGGCAAAUAGACCCAGAGAUCCCUGCUCACCCCCCCUGGACAGUGGCAGUCCAGACAGCAAGGCAGCGCAGCCCGAGGCAGUGAGACCCGGAGUCCUGGGCAGUCACCACAGACAGAACAUGGCGACACCUGACCUUCUGAGACCUAGGAAUGUGAUUAGUAACAAGGUGGGUGGGACUUCUCAGCCUGUGAGUAGAACUCCUGCAGCUGCAAUUAAACAGUUUGGGCUUGAGGAGAGGACUGGGGCCCUGCAGAGAAAUGGAAGUGGUCCAUUGAGACUAGAUGGAGCAGCAGAGGGAAAACCAGGGGUUGUUUCAGAGUAUUCCUUUGAGCUGUCGUUUCAGGAGAAGCUGCAGCGCUGGGACUGUGACCGUCACAAGGUGGUGGAGCCAGGAGAGUUUGAGCUGCUGGAGCAGGCAGCCAAGGAGCUCUUUCUCCUCCAACUCAUCCUUCGUCAUGAAGGCUUGUAAUGCUUUUAUACCUGUCUUUUUUUAUCAUGUAUGGCAUUAACAUUUUUUCGUAUGUUUCACAAAUUAAUGCUACACAAUUGCUUAGUAAAUGUAAACCUACAGGUGCUGCAGCUGGACCAGCAACACCCCCUCCAUGGCAGCUGGGGGCACCACCCGCUAUGCCUGUCGGGGGCACCACCCGCUAUGCCUGUCCUCCACGCCAAUCAAAUCCCCCAAACCCUUGCCAACUAAAGGUAUUCAUAGCGGAGGCACCGGUAUAAAAGUGGCCUAGGAACAGGGACCAGCUCCUCUGAAUCAUCAGGAGUAUCUGCUGUGAGGGCAAAGGAGGUUGUGAUGAGGGAAAAAGGAAAAGCCAUUGAGGAAGAUGAAAUGAGGGACCGCAAACAUGAGGAAAUCUGUAUUUCGUUCCAUAGCAGCUCUGAAUUCGGGGAUCAGGAGGAAGUAGCCCGACCGCCGUACCAAACUAUAUUUCCCAGCAACCCCUGGGAAAACACGCUCCCCACAUCCAGCCCUCCAUACGACAAGAGGUCAUAUCAGGACAGAGAGGGGGGCUCAGGCCAGGCAGAGGGGGGCAGGGAGAGUGACCUUGACUCCACCCUAUUGGAAGAUGGAGAAGAGGGGGACCGCAAGGGUCGGUUUGUGUUUGACGAUGACACCUGGAAUGACCUGGAGGUGGCAGGCAGAAUCGUUGAGGACCCCAUCAGAACAAAAGGCGCUGCUACAGGAAACAGCCACACUCUCACAAUAACAGGGAACGACGUCUCACCCCCAGAGAGGAAGCUGAAGAGAAAGGUGGCUGGGGUCGAGCUGGAGAGGGUGUCAAUUAUCACAGCAGCCAACCAGGAGCCAGAUCCUCCUCCCGCCUCCCAGCUUAUGGCCAGGCUGUUCCCCUCGCUGAAGCCCAAGAUCCAGGCCCCUCCUCCACCAGAGCCUAGGAAGUCUGAGAACGGACCAGGCCAGCAGCAGCAGUCCAGGCAGCUGAGGGAGAGAGAACGAUUCAGGACAGAGAACACUGCCCUGGCCAGACUCCAACUGGAGAACGAGAAUAACCAGGAAUAUCUCAGGAAGGAGAGGGCAGAGUUUGAGCAGCAGAAGGCUGAGGAGCUGGCCAGGUUUGAAGAGUUCAAGAGGGCGGAGACUAAGAAGCUGCAGAAGGAACGCAAGGUGUUUGAGAAGCACACCUCCGCCGCCAGGGCCAUACCAGAUAAGAGGGAGCGCGACGAGAUCCAGGCCCUGAAGCAGCAGCUGAGUUCCCUACACAAGGAGCUGAAGUGGAGAGAGCCGCUGGUCCACCACACACAGGCGUCUCCGACAGCAGAUCGACUCCCUGAGCUCAGACAACAGUGCCCUGAGAGACGAGGUCCGCACCCUGGAGAAACUAAGCCUCGGCACCUGGAGGAAGACUGGGACAGACAGCGACAGAGAGGAAGACCGGCGGGAGAAUGAGAGAGGGACCCAGGCCAUUUGACAGCAACAUUGCUCUUGGAGCCCCAGGGGCCUCAAAUCAGCAAGUCCUGACACAGUGAGGAGUUGCCCACCACAGAGCAGUAGCUCCUCUAGAGGCAGUGCUGCUAUUGAAGACAGUAUCAGGGGCAUCCUAAAGAGGUCAGCCCCUACAGCAGCCGCAGCACCCGAUCCCACUCAGUUACAG